CCGAGUGCGGGCCCUCGCGGCCCAACCUCCCACCCUUGUCUCUAUAUACCCGUUGCUUUGGCGGGCCCACCGUGAGGUCGCCGGGGGACGAACGUCCCCGGGCCCGCGCCCGCCGAAGCGCCCUGUGAACCCUGAUGAAGAUGGGCUGUCUGAGUUGUAUGAAAAUCGUCA
rnacentral:misc_RNA from 1 species